rnacentral:lncRNA from 1 species
AUGAUAUGCAACAGAAGAGAAGCCAGAAGAUUACUCUGCAAGUUGUAUGACAGACAGAAACUGAUGUUAAAAGAAAUCCGCAAUUGUCAGUGUGUCACAUGCAUGAAUCCCACUGCUGGAAGUUUUUCAGUAAAUCAGCAUCUUUGGGGCCUGGAAACCAGCCACACAGAGAACAGAGAGAGAUCGAAGCAUCUGGUGAACUUCAGAGUUCCAUCUUUUGUGAAAGAUGAAGAGACUGGAGCAAAACUCUGCCUGAGGGUUUGUUUUGGUUUUGGGGUUU